GGGAAGGGAAGGCCAUGCUGCAUUUGUUUGAGCAUGUGACAGUGACGCAAGUGCAGCACAAAGUGUGUUGAGGCGAGAUAAUGUCAGCGGUGUGGGCGUUUUUUCAGGGUGUCGAUAGAAGAUACGCGAAAAGCAUUAUGCAACACUUGCAAAGUCGAGGUAGUUUGUAUUCAAUGUAGAAAAUGAAGUAUGUAGGUGUUCACAGAUUUAGAAGUUGUUGGUAAAAACUUUAUAGUUAUUAUAAUUUAAUUUGUUUACAGGUGAAGUGUGUGUGUGUGUUAAAAUGAAAGGUUUCAUCAAACCUGUUAUGUAAAUAUGUCACCCUUUAUGUACUUUGGCUUGUUAAACGUUUCAACAUCUCAACAGAAGUGAAUUAUAGUUUUUAUGUGUUGCACAAGUUUAUGUGCAUGUUUGUUUUAUUUAAAAUAAAAUAAAAAGAAGCUUAUGUAAAUUUUGGGCUUUAACUUGUUUUUCAUUCAUGGUUUCCACCAGAAUUAAUAUCUCCUAUUUCUGGGUUCCGUAAUUAACAUUUGUCUCUCGUCUUUUCAGGUUGAGCUUCCCAGUCGGUGGCGGUGAGUCAAUGAUGGCGGUGACGUACCAAAGCUGAAAAAAACUGGCCCCGAGACCCUCCUGUGGAGGAUAAAGUGGUAGAAGAUGGAUGGUGACCUUCAGGGUGAAUCAUCUCUGGUCCCCUGUGAAUGGCUCCUCAUCACACACUUGCAAUAAUUUCAGGCCCAGCAACCCUCCUGUGGUAGAAAAUGGAUGGUGACCUUCAGGGUGAAUCAUCCCCACCCCGUGAAUGGCGCCUCAUCACACACUUGCUAUAAUUUCAGGCCGCGCAACCCUCCUGUGGUAGAAAAUGGAUGGUGACCUUCAGAGUGAAUCAUCCCCACCCCGUGAUUGGCGCCUCAUCACACACUUGCUAUAAUUUCAGGUUGACGUGCAGACGUACCAUUCCAGAGAACCACACCUUCUAAGCUGUGUCGACUUUUUUUUAAUCGCAUAAUAAAAUUUAUAAAUUGUG